rnacentral:pre_miRNA from 1 species
CGAUGAUGAUGAUGCUGAUGAUGAUGGUGGUGGUGAUGAGGUCCGCCUGCGCACCGCGGUUUCGCUUUCAAACGUGGUAGCAGCAGCAGCAGCAACAACAACAACAACACCGGGAGUACUCUCUCGGUGUCGCUCUGGCACCUCGUCACCUCUCAUCAUCAUCAGCAUCAUCAGUA